rnacentral:rRNA from 1 species
AGCAGCCGCGGUAAUUCCAGCUCCAAUAGCGUAUAUUAAAGUUGUUGCAGUUAAAAAGCUCGUAGUUGAAUUUCGGGAUCGAAUUGUUGGUCGUGCUUCGGUACGUACUGGCAUUAUUGGUUCCUACCUUCUGAAGAACCGCGAUGUCAUUAAUUUGGUGUCGUGGGGAAUCAGGACUGUUACUUUGAAAAAAUUAGAGUGUUUAAAGCAGGCGCACGCUUGAAUACAUUAGCAUGGAAUAAUGAAAUAGGACGUUUGAUUCUAUUUUGUUGGUUUCUAGGAUUGACGUAAUGAUUAAUAGGGAUAGUUGGGGGCAUUAGUAUUCAAUUGUCAGAGGUGAAAUUCUUGGAUUUAUUGAAGACUAACUACUGCGAAAGCAUUUGCCAAGGAUGUUUUCAUUAAUCAAGAACGAAAGUUAGGGGAUCGAAGAUGAUCAGAUACCGUCGUAGUCUUAACCAUAAACUAUGCCGACUAGGGAUCGGAUGAUGUUAAUUUUUUAAUGACUCA